rnacentral:rRNA from 1 species
AAACAUUGCUUUAUGUUUUUUUAUAAGGUUAACCCUGCUCAAUGAUAUAUUAAAUAGCCGCAGUACUUUGACUGUGCAAAGGUAGCAUAAUCAUUUGGCUUAUAAUUGAAGUCUGGAAUGAAUGGGAGUAUGGGUAGUUACUGUCUUACCAUAAAUAAUUGAACUUACUAAUUAAGUGAAAAUUCUUAUAACAAUAUAAUAGACGAGAAGACCCUAGAAAUUUUAUAUAUUUAUGUGGUUACAUAGGUUAUUUUGUUGGGGCGACAGAACAACAUUUAACUUGUUUAUUACUAUUUGACCUUAUUGAAAAGUGUAACUAAAUUACUCUAGGGAUAACAGCAUAAUACAAAAGAGUUUGUGACCUCGAUGUUGGACUAGGAAUAUUAUUGUUUAGAAGAUAAUAAUAAUAGCUCUGUUCGAGCUAAAAUUCCUACGUGAUC